rnacentral:lncRNA from 1 species
ACCAUGAUAAAGCGGUAUUCUUUUGGUAUUCUUUCCUUUGAUGAUCGCAGGUGAGGUUGAAAAGAGUUUUCAGUAUGAUUCUUCUUUUCCUUUGCAGCAUCCAAAACUCCAUAUUAUAGCUGAUCUUCAUCUCUGAUCUGAAAAGCUUCACAGGCCAGAAGAGAAUUGAGAUGAAGAAGGAAAUAGAGAAUGCUGAUGAAUAUUUCCAAUUACCACCCCAACUUAUGUCUUGGCUCUUCGCAUCAAGCCAGAGCAGUUUCUUUGCCUCCGGAACCUGCAGACUGACCUCUCGUGUGUAUCUGUGGUGGACUGAGGGUAAUGUUUGUAACACACACUGAUGCUGUAUUGACUGUAACUUUCAGAAAAGAGAGCAAGAAGCUAACCUGCAUAGCAGUUUCUUAGGUUUCUGUACGUAUAUAUAUAUAUGCAUAUAUAUUUAAUUAUUUAUUUACUUAUUUAAAGAUAUCUUUUGUUCUCCAAAAUGAAUCCUCUGACUGUUACUAAUGUAUGGGACAUACCUUGACACUAUAAUGGUGUAUAAAUACUUUUCAUCUCAUCCUUGCUAUUGUUACUGUAUUUAAAAAAUAAUUGUGAAUAUAAUUACGUGCUUUUAUUCUUUUUUUAAAAAAAAUAUAUAUAUAUAUACACGUAUUCUAUUAUAAAAUCCUAUAAAAAGGAGUGCCAACCAGAAGGGAUAAACGUUCAUUCUCCUUGACUUUCCAUGUUCCAUCUGGGACAUAGAAUGGUUUUUCGUCACUUAAGACAACUCACUGUCUUUUUGUGAACUUUUCGUGAACUUGUCUUUGUAUUAUUUCAACGAAGUGAAUCAACAGGUAUAACUCAAAGGUUAUAAUGCAAUAGAUGAAGAGAGCAUUUGUAUCAAGCCUUUUUUCUUUAGGAAAAGAUGUCUCUGAAAAGCUAUACUAAGACAUAAAAUAACACAUAUGACAUAAAGUCGAGUUUGCAACAGGAAGAAGCUAAAUACAUUAAAGAACAGCUACACCUGCAGCUGCUGACAGAGAAUGAAACGAGAUCCACUGGGUCUCUCAUGCUCUCAGUGCAUCACACAAGAACAUCCCAGCUGCAGCUGCUGCCCCAAAAGGCAGUGCUAGCUAAAAGGCUCCAAUCGUUAAACAUGCACAACGAACAGGAUGUACACACACGUCUUUUUAAGAACAGCUGUUUUCCCCAAACCUGUUUGUGAAAUUUAUUUCAUGACUGAAGGUAGAAAACUAUAUACGCUCAUACACUGGUGUCAUCUUCCAAUUAAAACAUAUUUCAAACUAAGCUUUGGAAACUCACUUUUUUUAUGUUAGGAACUGAGUAACAGUGGUUGUG